rnacentral:rRNA from 1 species
GAGUUUGAUCAUGGCUCAGAUUGAACGCUGGCGGCAUGCCUUACACAUGCAAGUCGAACGGCAGCACGGGAGCUUGCUCCUGGUGGCGAGUGGCAAACGGGUGAGUAAUGCAUCGGAACGUAUCCUGGAGUGGGGGAUAACGUAGCGAAAGUUACGCUAAUACCGCAUAUUCUGUGAGCAGGAAAGCGGGGGACCUUCGGGCCUCGCGCUCUUGGAGCGGCCGAUGUCGGAUUAGCUAGUUGGUGAGGUAAAGGCUCACCAAGGCGACGAUCCGUAGCAGGUCUGAGAGGAUGAUCUGCCACACUGGAACUGAGACACGGUCCAGACUCCUACGGAGGCAGCAGUGGGGAAUUUUGGACAAUGGGGGCAACCCUGAUCCAGCCCAUGCCGCGUGAGUGAAGAAGGCCUCGGUUGUAAG